GACGAACGCUGGCGGCGUGCCUAAUACAUGCAAGUUGAGCGAUGAAGAUUGGUGCUUGCACCAAUUUGAAGAGCAGCGAACGGGUGAGUAACGCGGGGGGAAUCUGCCUUUGAGCGGGGGACAAAAUUUGGAAACGAAUGCUAAUACCGCAUAACAACUUUAAACAUAAGUUUUAAGUUUGAAAGAUGCAAUUGCAUCACUCAAAGAUGAUCCCGCGUUGUAUUAGCUAGUUGGUGAGGUAAAGGCUCACCAAGGCGAUGAUACAUAGCCGACCUGAGAGGGUGGUCGGCCACAUUGGGACCUGGACACGGCCCAAACUCCUACGGGAGGCAGCAGUAGGGGAUCUUCGGCAAUGGACGAAAGUCUGACCGAGCAACGCCGCGUGAGUGAAGAAGGUUUUCGGAUCGUAAAACUCUGUUGGUAGAGAAGAACGUUGGUGAGAGUGGAAAGCUCAUCAAGUGACGGUAACUACCCAGAAAGGGACGGCUAACUACGUG
rnacentral:rRNA from 1 species